rnacentral:rRNA from 1 species
UACGAAGGGGGCUAGCGUUGCUCGGAAUUACUGGGCGUAAAGCGCACGUAGGCGGCUCUUUAAGUCGGGGGUGAAAUCCUGGAGCUCAACUCCAGAACUGCCUUCGAUACUGUAGAGCUUGAGACCGGAAGAGGUAAGUGGAACUGCGAGUGUAGAGGUGAAAUUCGUAGAUAUUCGCAAGAACACCAGUGGCGAAGGCGGCUUACUGGUCCGGUUCUGACGCUGAGGCGCGAAAGCGUGGGGAGCAAACAGG